rnacentral:lncRNA from 1 species
AAAGGCACGAUUACAGACGAACAAGUUGGCCAAUCAUUUCUACAACCAAUCAUUCUUUUGUGAAUAUUAAAAAUUUAGUGCAGCUGAGGUUUUUUUUUUGUUACUUUGGUUUAACCUUUAGAAAUGAACAGAAGCUUUAGUGUUUGCCAAAGAAAAUAAGGACAUGAGGGCGGGCCUCCUGCAUUUUUCUUUUCAACUCCGCUUUUUCUGUAGACACUACAUAACUUCAAGCAUGCGGACAAAGAAAUAAGGUAAAAGUUGAAUUGUUUUAUUCUGAAGUGGAGAAUACCAAUUUCACUUUUUGCCACAGGAGGGCGCUAAUACAUGUAUCACUUUUCGCUAGCUGUUGAUAAAUGCCCUCACGAAGAAGACGGUCUGCUUUUCCAUGGAAACCCGACGCUUAUUUGAGUCCAACCAGAAAUAUGUCGUGAUUUCCGGACCAGUUCGAGGUUUGAGUGAACUCGAACCCAAACCAAACGGUGUGGUCAGUCGAAGAAGGCUAAUUAGAGUGUAUCAACCUGUGUUGUUUUAGCAUUCUAAUGUCGCUUUAGCUAACUGUCUGCCCUGCGGGAGAUUUGAGAGGAAUGCGAAACGCCGAAAGAAGACGAGCGGUCUGACUGCAGGCAGCGCAUGAUGAUGCGGCGCAGAGGCGGCGGCAGCUCGGCUCUGGACCGGGCCGAGUCGCUGCUCUCGGCCAGGAGCAGCAGGACUCGGGGACGCGGCCAGGGAUUCUUCAAAACAACAUCCAACCCCCCAAAUAAACAGGUUUCCUUCUGUAAUCUGAGUGAUUUGUCUGCGGACAGCUCAGCUGAUGCCACUGGAGGAGAGAACUCAGAGCAGGACUCCAGGCCUCACAGUGGUUUUGGGGGGGGCAGCAGGUUUCUGAAAAAGGCUCCUCCACCAACAAGCAGCCGCCGCUCACCCGUCGACAGAAAGCAGAACCUGCUGGAACCCAGGUCUGUGCCGGCCUUCCAGCAGGAAUCGCAAACUCAAAUCUCAGCUGAGUCUCGGAGCAGCGAUCGAGCCCCAGAGACCACUGAUGGUGAGACAAGCGGACCCUCACAAGGGGCAGGUGCGCCCACACAGGUGAGCAUCUCUGCGGCGUCGGCCACCCAGCAGCAUUCAGCACAGUGGAGCUCAGGGGGAAGCCGCUUCCUGAAGAAGAAGACGGGCGCGGGUUCUACGCCUGCUGCAGCUCUGAGAUCAGGUGGAGGGGUCAGGUCUACACCUUUGCGGGAUUUAGAGAGUGUGGACAGUGAUGAAGAAUACAUGAAGAAACUGCUGGGGGAAUCGGUGGAUUGUUCAGACAGCAGUUUAGUGGAAGAGGGGGGGGCGCCCACCUCUGAAGGAGCCACAGAAGAUGCUCAGCAGUCAGAGGACUCACUCCAUCCCGUCGCCCCCCAGCUCGGCGCCACACCGCCAUUCUCCUUUCAGAUACUCGGGCCGGAGUCAGAACCACUUCAGCCCUUCUGUUUCAUCUCCAGCGACUCCCCUUCCAGGGAAGACCAGCGACUUUCCAAAGGCAGAGAGUCCACAGCGACUCUCCUCAUCCUCGUCGGAGUCUGUUCAAGUUCUCUCUCUGGAGGAGCUGCUCCCUGGGGGGUCAGUUUCUUCAGAAGCACAGAGUCAAAGGAGCAAGGUUUCUGA